rnacentral:rRNA from 1 species
AGAGUUUGAUCCUGGCUUAGGAUGAACGCUAGCUACAGGCUUAACACAUGCAAGUCGAGGGGCAGCAGAUCGAUAGCUUGCUAUUGAUGCUGGCGACCGGCGCACGGGUGAGUAACGCGUAUCCAACCUUCCCCUUAGUAGGGGAUAGCCCGGCGAAAGUCGGAUUAAUACCCUAUGUUAUCCGAAGAGGACAUCUGAAUUGGAUCAAAGGUUUACCGCUAAGGGAUGGGGAUGCGUCUGAUUAGGUAGUCGGCGGGGUAACGGCCCACCGAGCCGUCGAUCAGUAGGGGUUCUGAGAGGAAGGUCCCCCACAUUGGAACUGAGACACGGUCCAAACUCCUACGGGAGGCAGCAGUGAGGAAUAUUGGUCAAUGGGCGAGAGCCUGAACCAGCCAAGUAGCCGUGCAGGAUGACGGCCCUAUGGGUUGUAAGCUGCUUUUAUCGGGGGAUAAAGUCACCCACGUGUGGGUGUUUGUAGGUACCCGAUGAAUAAGGACCGGCUAAUUCCGUGCCAGCCGCGGC